rnacentral:rRNA from 1 species
UACGUAGGUGGCAAGCGUCGUCCGGAAUUAUUGGGCGUAAAGCGCGCGCAGGCGGCCUCUUAAGUCUGAUGUGAAAGCCCCCGGCUCAACCGGGGAGGGCCAUUGGAAACUGGGAGGCUUGAGUAUAGGAGAGAAGAGUGGAAUUCCACGUGUAGCGGUGAAAUGCGUAGAGAUGUGGAGGAACACCAGUGGCGAAGGCGACUCUUUGGCCUAUAACUGACGCUGAGGCGCGAAAGCGUGGGGAGCAAACAGG